rnacentral:rRNA from 1 species
AGAGUUUGAUCAUGGCUCAGGAUGAACGCUGGCGGCGUGCCUAAUACAUGCAAGUCGAGCGGUAAGGCUCUCACAGGUUAUUUGAUUACGGCAACUUCGGUUGUCACAGCAAACCAAAUCAACCCCGGCUGGGGAAAGGAGAUGGCGAGGGAAAAUCGAAUAUCGUGUGAGAGUACACGAGCGGCGGACGGCUGAGUAACGCGUAGGAACGUACCCCAAAGUGAGGAAUAAGCACCAGAAAUGGUGUCUAAUACCGCAUAUGAUCUAAGGAUUAAAGCUUCGGCGCUUUGGGAACGGCCUGCGUAAGAUUAGCUAGUUGGUGAGGUAAUGGCUCACCAAGGCGACGAUCUUUAGCUGGUUUGAGAGGAUGAUCAGCCAGACUGGGACUGAGACACGGCCCAGACUCCUACGGGAGGCAGCAGUAGGGAAUUUUCCACAAUGGGCGAAAGCCUGAUGGAGCAACGCCGCGUGCAGGAUGAAUGCCUUCGGGUUGUAAACUGCUUUUAUAUGUGACGAUUAUGACGGUAGCAUAUGAAUAAGGAUCGGCUAACUCCGUGCCAGCAGCCGCGGUCAUACGGAGGAUCCAAGCGUUAUCCGGAAUUACUGGGCGUAAAGAGUUGCGUAGGUGGCAUAGUAAGCGGAUAGUGAAAGCGUGUGGCUCAACCAUACACACAUUGCCUGAACUGCUAAGCUAGAGUAUGAGAGAGGUAGAUGGAAUUCCCUGUGUAGGAGUGAAAUCCGUAGAUAUAGGGAGGAACACCGAUGGCGUAGGCAGUCUACUGGCUCAUUACUGACACUCAGGCACGAAAGCGUGGGGAGCAAACGGGAUUAGAUACCCCUGUAGUCC